rnacentral:tRNA from 1 species
GCGCUCGUAGCUCAGUUGGAUAGAGCAUCCGCCUUCUAAGCGGACGGUCCCGGGUUCGAAUCCUGGCGGGCGCGCCA